rnacentral:SRP_RNA from 1 species
GGCGGCACUAGACCGGGGGGUCAGGCCUCCCCUCUACCUCAAAUGGUCUUCAUGGAGGGGUCGAAAUCCCAAGGCGGCGUCCUGCUUGCCUGUGGGGCCAACAGCCAGACGAUGAAGUCUCGUCCCGCGGGGCCGGAGGUGGAUGAGGAUGUCUUCCGGAGGGAAGGCGUCCCGCCUUGGCCGUGGAAACCGGGUCAGGCACGGAAGUGAGCAGCCUCACUGCGGACUACCGGAGCUUGCGGGGUCGCGGGACCGAGGAUGCUGUUGAUCACCUCACGGGCGUGGCAAUCGCUCACUUGGGGGCGUGUCGCC